rnacentral:rRNA from 1 species
CUACGGGAGGCAGCAGUAGGGAAUAUUGCUCAAUGGGCGAAAGCCUGAAGCAGCAACGCCGCGUGUGCGAUGAAGGUCUUCGGAUCGUAAAGCACUUUUCUGGGAGAUGAGAAAGGACAGUAUCCCAGGAAUAAGCCUCGGCUAACUACGUGCCAGCAGCCGCGGUAAAACGUAGGAGGCGAGCGUUAUCCGGAUUUACUGGGCGUAAAGCGCGUGCAGGCGGUUCGGCAAGUUGGGUGUGAAAUCUCCCGGCUCAACUGGGAGGAGUCGCUCAAUACUACCGGACUUGAGGGCAGUAGAGGAAGGUGGAAUUCCCGGUGUAGUGGUGAAAUGCGUAGAUAUCGGGAGGAACACCAGUGGCGAAAGCGGCCUUCUGGACUGUACCUGACGCUCAUACGCGAAAGCUAGGGGAGCGAACGGGAUUAGAUACCCCGGUAGC